UACGGAGGGGGCUAGCGUUGUUCGGAAUUACUGGGCGUAAAGCGCACGUAGGCGGCUUUGUAAGUUAGAGGUGAAAGCCCGGGGCUCAACUCCGGAAUUGCCUUUAAGACUGCAUCGCUAGAAUUGUGGAGAGGUAAGUGGAAUUCCGAGUGUAGAGGUGAAAUUCGUAGAGAUGCGGAGGAACACCGAUGGCGAAGGCAGCCCCCUGGGCUAACACUGACGCUCAGGCACGAAAGCGUGGGGAGCAAACAGG
rnacentral:rRNA from 1 species